GAUGCCCCAUAUAAGAUCCAUAUGCCCUCUAAUCAUGGGACACGUCCAACUUGAUCAAAUCAAGGUGGCGCCCAAAAAUAACUAUCAAGGAUAUUAAUUAGGGACUUGCACCCUUAAUUUAUUUGAUCCAAAACCUUAGAUACCUAACAAUUGGAGUCUAAUGAAUCUAAUUUAUUUAGCUUAUUAGUAGAUAAUUAAGUUUGAAUUAUCUAAUCAAAUAAGAAAUCCAAACAUAAAGAAAAAAUUAAGUUCAACCAUGUGCUAGGAAGGUUACUUCGAACCC
rnacentral:lncRNA from 1 species